UACGGAGGGUGCAAGCGUUGCUCGGAAUUAUUGGGCGUAAAGGGUAGGUAGGUGGUCUCAUUUGUCUGGGGUGAAAGCCUUGAGCUUAACUCAAGAAGUGCCCUAGAAACGGUGAGACUAGAGUCCUGGAGAGGGUCGUGGAAUUCCCGGUGUAGCGGUGAAAUUCGUAGAUAUCGAGAGGAACACCGGUGGCGAAGGCGGCCAACUGGACGAAGACUGACGCUGAGACACGAAAGCGUGGGGAGCAAACAGG
rnacentral:rRNA from 1 species